rnacentral:lncRNA from 1 species
CGAAUGUUCUAAUUGUGAAAUUUGGUUUCACCUUUGAAUCCCUCAUAAAAAUUAGGAUACCAUUAAAAUGUACUGUACUUUAAAAAUAUUUUAAAAUUUAAUUUUAGUCUCCUUAAUAAUAGUAGGAGGCAAAAGUGCUUUGCAGUGAAUCCGGCAAGAUGGCUGAAUAGGAAGAGCUCCAGUCUGCAGCUCCUAGAAAGACCAAUGCAGAAGGCGGGAAGAUUUCUGCAUUUCCAACUGAGGCCUCCUGGGAGCCUCAUGAUGGAUAUCAAAGCGUGAAUUUUAGUAACAGCCAAGAUGGAAUGAAUUGCUGUGAUGCUUCCCUUCAACCCCUCAAACACUGAAGACAGGCUGAGGGAAGAGGCCGGCCUGGCUUGUCCUACCUAACUUGUUCAGGAGGAAAGUGGGAGCAGAAGAAGCCGGCAGAUCUUGCCUGUGCCUUGAUCUCCAGGCCCUGCCUGGUUUGCACUUGGCACAGAACCUGCAAACUCGAGACAGUGCCCCUGAGCCUUAAUGCUGCUGGCUUAGGAGAGAGGUGAGGCCACCCAAGAAAGCAUUAUCCCCACCCAAAGAGAAACGUAGUCCCAUGAAGGCAAGUCAGCCAGGUAGGGCGGAGAGUGUUGGGUAGAGUAAAAAACUGAAGUCCCAAACUUCUCAGAAAGGACAGAAGAGUAUGUGGUUCUGUUUACUACGGGGCAUGAAUGGAAUAUGGGAGAACUAUUCUUCCUUAUUUUUUGCACUUCAUCUGUAUAAAUUAAUACAAGUAUUUUCCUCAUGACUUCUUCUAUUCCUUGGCGUCAUCCUCAAGGGAUAGGUCUUCCUCUUUGAUUCCAUUUUAUUUUUAAACUUGUUUCUCCUGGAGUGGGUACUUUUUUACCCUUAAAAUAAACACUAUAAACUUUCAGUUCAAUUCCACAUACUGUUACAUUUCACCAAAGGGUUAAUAAGUAAAAAAUGCUUUCUAAAAUUUAUUUUUAUUUCCUUUAAAGUUUUCAAAAUGAUUAUUUAAAGAAGCAACAAUUGCUUUUGCAACCACCCCCUCUAUUUGUGGGUUUUAAUAAG